GACGAACGCUGGCGGCGUGCUUAACACAUGCAAGUCGAACGAAGUGGCGAACGGGUGAGUAACGCGUAAUCAACCUGCCCUUCAGAGGGGGACAACAGUUGGACACGACUGCUAAUACCGCAUACUGAAGGAGGGGAUUGCGUCUGAUUGGCUAGUUGGAGGGGUAACGGCCCACAAAGGCGAUGAUCAGUAGGCGGUGUGGAAGGAAGAACGGCCAAAUUGGGACUGAGACAAGGCCCAGACUCCUACGGGAGGCAGCAGGGGGGAAUCUUUCGAAAUGGACGAAAGUCUGACGGAGCAACGCCGCGUUAGUGAUGACGGGCUUCGGGUUGUAAAGCUAUGUUAAUCGGGACGCGGUACCGGAAUAGAAAGCCACGGCUAACUACGUGCCAGCAGCCGCGGUAAUUC
rnacentral:rRNA from 1 species